CCUACGGGAGGCCGCAGUGAGGAAUAUUGGUCAAUGGACGCAAGUCUGAACCAGCCAUGCCGCGUGCAGGAUGACGGCUCUAUGAGUUGUAAACUGCUUUUGUACGAGGGUAAACCCCGAUACGUGUAUCUGUUUGAAAGUAUCGUACGAAUAAGGAUCGGCUAACUCCGUGCCAGCAGCCGCGGUAAUACGGAGGAUCCGAGCGUUAUCCGGAUUUAUUGGGUUUAAAGGGUGCGUAGGCGGUUUGAUAAGUUAGAGGUGAAAUGUCGGGGCUCAACCCCGAAACUGCCUCUAAUACUGUUGGACGAGAGAAUAGUUGCGGUAGGCGGAAUGUAUGGUGUAGCGGUGAAAUGCUUAGAGAUCAUACAGAACACCGAUUGCGAAGGCAGCUUACCAAACUAUAUCUGACGUUGAGGCACGAAAGCGUGGGUAGCAAACAGGAUUAGAUACCCGUGUAGUC
rnacentral:rRNA from 1 species